rnacentral:rRNA from 1 species
GGAUGAACGCUGACAGAAUGCUUAACACAUGCAAGUCGAACGUGAUUUUUGUGGAAAUUCUUUCGGGAAUGGAAGUGAAAUGAAAGUGGCGAACGGGUGAGUAACACGUGAGCAACCUACCUACACAGGGGGAUAGCCGUUGGAAACGACGAUUAAUACCGCAUGAGACCACAGAAUCGCAUGAUAUAGGGGUCAAAGAUUUAUCGGUGUAAGAAGGGCUCGCGUCUGAUUAGCUAGUUGGAAGGGUAAAGGCCUACCAAGGCGACGAUCAGUAGCCGGUCUGAGAGGAUGAACGGCCACAUUGGAACUGAGACACGGUCCAAACUCCUACGGGAGGCAGCAGUGGGGAAUAUUGCACAAUGGGGGGAACCCUGAUGCAGCGACGCCGCGUGAGCGAAGAAGGUUUUCGAAUCGUAAAGCUCUGUCCUAUGAGAAGAUAAUGACGGUAUCAUAGGAGGGAGCCCCGGCUAAAUACGUGCCAGCAGCCGCGGUAAUACGUAUGGGGCGAGCGUUGUCCGGAAUUAUUGGGCGUAAAGGGUACGUAGGCGGUUUUUUAAGUCAGGUGUGAAAGCGUGAGGCUUAACCUCAUUAAGCACUUGAAACUGGAAGACUUGAGUGAAGGAGAGGAAAGUGGAAUUCCUAGUGUAGCGGUGAAAUGCGUAGAUAUUCGGAGGAAUUCCGGUGGCGAAGGCGACUUUAUGGACUUUUAAUUACGCUCAGGUUUGAAAGUGUGGGGCGCUAACAGG